rnacentral:rRNA from 1 species
UACGUAGGGUGCGAGCGUUGUCCGGAAUUAUUGGGCGUAAAGGGCUCGUAGGCGGUUUGUCACGUCGGGAGUGAAAACUCAGGGCUUAACCCUGAGCCUGCUUCCGAUACGGGCAGACUAGAGGUAUGCAGGGGAGAACGGAAUUCCUGGUGUAGCGGUGAAAUGCGCAGAUAUCAGGAGGAACACCGGUGGCGAAGGCGGGUCUCUGGGCCGGAACUGACGCUAAGGAGCGAAAGCGUGGGGAGCGAACAGG